UACCGGCGGCUCGAGUGGUGGCCGAUAUUAUUGAGUCUAAAGGGUCCGUAGCCGGCUUUGCGGGUCCUCCGGGAAAUCCAGCGGCUUAACCGUUGGGCUGUCGGGGGAAACUACAUUGCUUGGGACUGGGAGAGGUAGGAGGUACUCAGGGGGUAGGAGUGAAAUCCUGUAAUCCUUUGGGGACCACCGGUGGCGAAGGCGUCCUACCAGAACAGGUCCGACGGUGAGGGACGAAAGCUAGGGGC
rnacentral:rRNA from 1 species